AUUGAACGCUGGCGGCAGGCCUAACACAUGCAAGUCGAACGGUAACAGGAAACAGCUUGCUGUUUCGCUGACGAGUGGCGGACGGGUGAGUAAUGUCUGGGAAACUGCCUGAUGGAGGGGGAUAACUACUGGAAACGGUAGCUAAUACCGCAUAACGUCGCAAGACCAAAGAGGGGGACCUUCGGGCCUCUUGCCAUCGGAUGUGCCCAGAUGGGAUUAGCUAGUAGGUGGGGUAACGGCUCACCUAGGCGACGAUCCCUAGCUGGUCUGAGAGGAUGGCCAGCCCCACUGGAACUGAGACACGGACCAGACUCCUACGGGAGGCAGCAGUGGGGAAUAUUGCACAAUGGGCGCAAGCCUGAUGCAGCCAUGUCGCGUGUAUGAAGAAGGCCUUCGGGUUGUAAAGUACUUUCAGCGGGGAGGAAGGGAGUAAAGUUAAUACCUUUGCUCAUUGACGUUACCCGCAGAAGAAGCACCGGCUAACUCCGUGCCAGCAGCCGCCGUAA
rnacentral:rRNA from 1 species